UAUCAAAAUACUUCAGUGUUGUGUAUUUUUGUAUUUUCAAAAUACUGUAAAAUACUUUCUGUGAAACACUGUGAUAACAUCUAUCUAUCUAUAAACGAAUGUCUCUGUCUGUGGCACCUUCGCAUAGUUAAGCCCCUGUGACGCCACGCUCGGCCACUAGGGAAUGUUGGCGCUGUUUCACACUUGCUAUGGGCAUGCACAUUGCACUCACAACACAAAACGUUCGGUGCUGCAGAUUGAGUUGGGUAGCUACGUUGGCUACUUUGUCCGGACCUGUCAUACAUUGUUUCAAAGCAAGAUUCAGGUUCAGAACGUGAUUGGAGGGACAGUUAGGAGUUGCAGGGACCUGUGAGGAGAAAUGAGUGAGAAUGAGUGGGAGAAUGGGAGACAAUGAGGAGAGCAGCUCUGACCAGCCCCUGGAAAUACCAGAGGAGAAUCCUACCCCAAGCACUAGUACUGCUCAGUGGACUGUGAGAUCAGCGAUAUUAGAUGGGACUUAUUUUGAAAUUGUGAAACAAACAGAAUCUGGGCAAGUUCAGGCUUCAAAACUCACCUGAAGAGGUUGCAUGCUGAGGUACUUCCAGAGUUUGAGCAACACAAGCAGGGUUUCAGCAGCGGAAAGAAAAGGACCAUCGGUACCACACUCAAGCAGACAAAGUUGUUUACAGAGUGUUCUCCCAGAAAUGCCCAGAUCUCUCAGAAAAAGGUAGAUGACUUAAUCACUGCCUAUGUUGUUAAAGGAAUGCAUCCUCUUUCAACUGUUGAACAGCCGGAAUUCAUUGACCUUGUUGAGGGCUUGAACCCAGAAGCAACUGUUAUCUCUAGAAGAACUCUAGGAAGAAGGAUUGACAAUGACUUUACAACAAAAGUGGAUGAUUUGAAGGAAGUUUUGAAAGGUGUUAAGCACUUAUGCACCACAGCUGAUAUUUGGUCCACCAAAGUUUCAAGCUUUUUUGGUGUGACAGCACACUGGAUUCAGCCAGAUACACUUGGCCGCCUG